rfam:Beta vulgaris subsp. vulgaris Bvchr2.sca007.con0098.1, whole genome shotgun sequence.
GUCAGGAUAGCUCAGUUGGCAGAGCAGAGGACUAGCAGUCCUUGAGUCACCAGUUCAAUUCUGGUUCCUGGCA